rnacentral:lncRNA from 1 species
CUGUACUAAUCGAAGUGACCAUCUAGCAAUGGUACCCGACGUCUGGAUAAGUUGAAGAGUCACAAUUGCAACACUCAGAACCUACAUGAAUAUGGUUACUGUAUAAUUCAUCCUUUUGACCCCUGUGUUUAGGAUGACUCAGGGUUAAACUGUCAACCCUUAUCAGAUCAUCCGAAUCGUGCUCAACUCAAACAGUCCUGUGACUCCUCACAAG